GGGCUCAUAGCUCAGUUGGUAGAGCGCACGCUUUGCAUGUGUGAGGUCCCGUGUUCAAACCCCGGUGAGUCCA
rnacentral:tRNA from 1 species